GUUGACUUUAAGCAUUUUUAGGGGGUUGUCAAACAUACGUAGCUUCAAAAGAUAAUUCCGAACCUCUUCUCCCUUUUUCAUCUCGUCUGUUCUCCCAGGCUGAUCCCUUUUUUUCUCUGACGCUGAUGUGAGCUUCGGAUUGCCAGCAUACAGCACACUCCGCCACUGGACUGGAUUCCUCCUGUUCCCAGCUGCUGGUGCCUGCUUCCUGAGGCAGCUGUGGGUGCAAAUGAAGCAAAAGGAAGCGCAGAGUUUGCAGAGCACAUGUGGAGCAUUAGGCGGGUCUGCUUACUUAGCACCAAGCUCCACACUGCAGAUCACGGCGGACAAGCUCAGGAGACGAGGGAGACGGAGGGAGAUGCUUCAGGAGCUGUUUGCUGUCUUCAACCUGCACGUGGUUUCCGAGAGCAGAGUUCAGCUGAUGAUCAGUGUUAGGGGGAUUGUCUCAGUGUUGGGAGCAGCAAGGGGAACCUCAGAGGCGAUCAGACCGACAUAAAGCCACAUUUUCUGCAGUUCUGGUUUGGUAACUCCUUCACGCAGGAGCUAGAGAAACACAAAGUGCCGAGUCAGACC
rnacentral:lncRNA from 1 species